AAAAAAAGAAAAUAGAUACAUCAACUUGAACGAAAGAAAUAACAAAAGGACACACCUAUACAGACACACUCACACAUUUGAUAAAGUAUGAGCAAUAGCAUUACCAGCUUGAUGAGCAAAUGACUAGCAAACAUUAGAUAGAAACCAAGUACAUGCAAUCAGCAAGGGCCAUCCCCACAAUAUUACCCGAAGCCUCCCCCACUUUUAAUCAAUUAAUAACUAUUACAAAACAUAGUUGAGG
rnacentral:misc_RNA from 1 species